GACGAACGCUGGCGGCGUGCCUAAUACAUGCAAGUAGAGCGCACAGGAUGCACCGUAGUUUACUACACCGUAUUCUGUGAGUUGCGAACGGGUGAGUAACGCGUAGGUAACCUGCCUGGUAGCGGGGGAUAACUAUUGGAAACGAUAGCUAAUACCGCAUAAGAACAUUUACUGCAUGGUAGAUGUUUAAAAGGUGCAAAUGCAUCACUACCAGAUGGACCUGCGUUGUAUUAGCUAGUAGGUGAGGUAACGGCUCACCAAGGCGACGAUACAUAGCCGACCUGAGAGGGUGAUCGGCCACACUGGGACUGAGACACGGCCCAGACUCCUACGGGAGGCAGCAGUAGGGAAUCUUCGGCAAUGGACGGAAGUCUGACCGAGCAACGCCGCGUGAGUGAAGAAGGUUUUCGGAUCGUAAAGCUCUGUUGUAAGAGAAGAACGAGUGUGAGAGUGGAAAGUUCACACUGUGACGGUAUCUUCCAGAAAGG
rnacentral:rRNA from 1 species